rnacentral:rRNA from 1 species
ACAUGCAAGUCGAGCGAACAGACGAGGAGCUUGCUCCUCUGACGUUAGCGGCGGACGGGUGAGUAACACGUGGAUAACCUACCUAUAAGACUGGGAUAACUUCGGGAAACCGGAGCUAAUACCGGAUAAUAUAUUGAACCGCAUGGUUCAAUAGUGAAAGACGGUUUUGCUGUCACUUAUAGAUGGAUCCGCGCCGCAUUAGCUAGUUGGUAAGGUAACGGCUUACCAAGGCAACGAUGCGUAGCCGACCUGAGAGGGUGAUCGGCCACACUGGAACUGAGACACGGUCCAGACUCCUACGGGAGGCAGCAGUAGGGAAUCUUCCGCAAUGGGCGAAAGCCUGACGGAGCAACGCCGCGUGAGUGAUGAAGGUCUUCGGAUCGUAAAACUCUGUUAUUAGGGAAGAACAAAUGUGUAAGUAACUAUGCACGUCUUGACGGUACCUAAUCAGAAAGCCACGGCUAACUACGUGCCAGCAGCCGCGGUAAUACGUAGGUGGCAAGCGUUAUCCGGAAUUAUUGGGCGUAAAGCGCGCGUAGGCGGUUUUUUAAGUCUGAUGUGAAAGCCCACGGCUCAACCGUGGAGGGUCAUUGGAAACUGGAAAACUUGAGUGCAGAAGAGGAAAGUGGAAUUCCAUGUGUAGCGGUGAGAUGCGCAGAGAUAUGGAGGAACACCAGUGGCGAAGGCGACUUUCUGGUCUGUAACUGACGCUGAUGUGCGAAAGCGUGGGGAUCAAACAGGAUUAGAUACCCUGGUAGUCCACGCCGUAAACGAUGAGUGCUAAGUGUUAGGGGGUUUCCGCCCCUUAGUGCUGCAGCUAACGCAUUAAGCACUCCGCCUGGG